GAUGAAGAACGUAGUGAAAUGCGAUACGUAAUGUGAAUUGCAGAAUUCAGUGAAUCAUCGAGUCUUUGAACGCACAUUGCGCCCCCUGGUAUUCCGGGGGGCAUGCCUGUCCGAGCGUCAUUGCUGCCCUCAAGCACGGCUUGUGUGUUGGGCCUCCGCCCCCCGGCUCCCGGGGGGCGGGCCCGAAAGGCAGCGGCGGCACCGCGUCCGGUCCUCGAGCGUAUGGGGCUUCGUCACCCGCUCCGUAGGCCCGGCCGGCGCCCGCCGGCGACCCCCCUCAAUCUUUCCAGGUUGACCUCGGAUCAGGUAGGGAUACCCGCUGAACUUAAGCAUAUCAAUAAGGGGAGGA
rnacentral:misc_RNA from 1 species